rnacentral:rRNA from 1 species
UACGUAGGUGGCAAGCGUUGUCCGGAUUUAUUGGGUUUAAAGGGUGCGUAGGCGGCUUUGUAAGUCAGUGGUGAAAUAUGGCAGCUCAACUGUCAGGGUGCCAUUGAUACUGCGGAGCUUGAGUACAGGAUGAGGUAGGCGGAAUUUGACGGUGUAGCGGUGAAAUGCUUAGAUAUCGUCAAGAACACCGAUAGCGAAGGCAGCUUACUAGGCUGUAAACUG